rnacentral:rRNA from 1 species
AGUUGAAGCUAGUGUAAGAACUAGUGGAGGACUGAACCCAUAGGCGUUGAAAAGCCCCGGGAUGACUUGUGGAUAGGGGUGAAAGGCCAAUCAAACUUCGUGAUAGCUGGUUCUCUCCGAAAUAUAUUUAGGUAUAGCGUUGUGUCGUAAUAUAAGGGGGUAGAGCACUGAAUGGGCUAGGGCAUACACCAAUGUACCAAACCCUAUCAAACUCCGAAUACCUUAUAUGUAAUCACAGCAGUCAGGCGGCGAGUGAUAAAAUCCGUCGUCAAGAGGGAAACAACCCAGACUACCAGCUAAGGUCCCUAAAUCUUACUUAAGUGGAAAACGAUGUGAAGUUACUUAAACAACCAGGAGGUUGGCUUAGAAGCAGCCAUCCUUUAAAGAAAGCGUAAUAGCUCACUGGUCUAGUGAUUUUGCGCGGAAAAUAUAACGGGGCUAAAGUAAGUACCGAAGCUGUAGACUUGCGCACAACUUAGAUUAUUUAAGUUUAGAAUAUGAGAAACUAAGUUAUAUGUUUAGUUAUAUUUUUACUGAUUUUUAUAGAGUAAAGAUAGAAAUAAAACUUAGUAAAAUCAGUAAAAAUAUUCUUAGACUAAAGUUAAGUAGUUUAAGUUGUGUGCAAGUGGUAGGAGAGCGUUCUAUUUGCGUCGAAGGUAUACCGGUAAGGAGUGCUGGAGCGAAUAGAAGUGAGCAUGCAGGCAUGAGUAGCGAUAAUUAAUGUGAGAAUCAUUAACGCCGUAAACCCAAGGUUUCCUACGCGAUGCUCGUCAUCGUAGGGUUAGUCGGGUCCUAAGUCGAGUCCGAAAGGGGUAGACGAUGGCAAAUUGGUUAAUAUUCCAAUACCAACAUUAGUGUGCGAUGGAAGGACGCUUAGGGCUAAGGGGGCUAGCGGAUGGAAGUGCUAGUCUAAGGUCGUAGGAGGUUAUACAGGCAAAUCCGUAUAACAAUACUCCGAGAACUGAAAGGCUUUUUGAAGUCUUCGGAUGGAUAGAAGAACCCCUGAUGCCAUCGAGCCAAGAAAAGUUUCUAAGUUUAGCUAAUGUUGCCCGUACCGUAAACCGACACAGGUGGGUGGGAUGAGUAUUCUAAGGCGCGUGGAAGAACUCUCUUUAAGGAACUCUGCAAAAUAGCACCGUAUCUUCGGUAUAAGGUGUGGUUCGCUUCGUAUUAGGAUUUACUCCGAAAGCGAAGAAACUUACAACAAAGAGUCCCUCCCGACUGUUUACCAAAAACACAGCACUCUGCUAACUCGUAAGAGGAUGUAUAGGGUGUGACGCCUGCCCGGUGCUCGAAGGUUAAUUGAUGGGGUUAGCAUUAGCGAAGCUCUUGAUCGAAGCCCGAGUAAACGGCGGCCGUAACUAUAACGGUCCUAAGGUAGCGAAAUUCCUUGUCGGUUAAAUACCGACCUGCAUGAAUGGCGUAACGAGAUGGGAGCUGUCUCAAAGAGGGAUCCAGUGAAAUUGUAGUGGAGGUGAAAAUUCCUCCUACCCGCGGCAAGACGGAAAGACCCCGUGGACCUUUACUACAGCUUGACACUGCUAUUUGGAUAAGAAUGUGCAGGAUAGGUGGGAGGCUUUGAGUAUAUGACGCCAGUUGUAUAUGAGCCAUUGUUGAGAUACCACUCUUUCUUAUUUGGGUAGCUAACCAGCUUGAGUUAUCCUCAAGUGGGACAAUGUCUGGUGGGUAGUUUGACUGGGGCGGUCGCCUCCCAAAUAAUAACGGAGGCUUACAAAGGUUGGCUCAGAACGGUUGGAAAUCGUUCGUAGAGUAUAAAGGUAUAAGCCAGCUUAACUGCAAGACAUACAAGUCAAGCAGAGACGAAAGUCGGUCUUAGUGAUCCGGUGGUUCUGUGUGGAAGGGCCAUCGCUCAAAGGAUAAAAGGUACCCCGGGGAUAACAGGCUGAUCUCCCCCAAGAGCUCACAUCGACGGGGAGGUUUGGCACCUCGAUGUCGGCUCAUCGCAUCCUGGGGCUGGAGCAGGUCCCAAGGGUAUGGCUGUUCGCCAUUUAAAGCGGUACGCGAGCUGGGUUCAGAACGUCGUGAGACAGUUCGGUCCCUAUCUGCCGUGGGCGUAAGAAGAUUGAAGAGAUUUGACCCUAGUACGAGAGGACCGGGUUGAACAAACCACUGGUGUAGCUGUUGUUCUGCCAAGAGCAUCGCAGCGUAGCUAAGUUUGGAAAGGAUAAACGCUGAAAGCAUCUAAGCGUGAAGCCAACUCUAAGAUGAAUCUUCUCUAAGCUCUCUAGAAGACUACUAGUUUGAUAGGCUGGGUGUGUAAUGGAUGAAAGUCCUUUAGCUGACCAGUACUAAUAGAGCGUUUGGCUUAUCUUUAAUAAAGCAU